AGGAUAAACGCUGGCGGCGUGCCUAACACAUGCAAGUCGAACGUCUCUUUCUUCGGGAAGAGGAGUGGCGGACGGGUGAGGAACACGUGGGAACCUGCCCUUCAGUGAGGAAUACCGACGAGAAAUCGCCGACAAGACCGCAUAGCCCUCUCUGGUGAGAGCCAGAGAAGGAAAGCCUCGCAAGAGGCGCUGGAGGAGGGGCCUGCGUCCGAUUAGCUAGUUGGUGGGGUAAGAGCCUACCAAGGCGUCGAUCGGUAGCUGGUCUGAGAGGACGAUCAGCCACACUGGGAUUGAGAACGGCCCAGACUCCUACGGGGGGCAGCAGUGAGGAAUUUUCGGCAAUGGGGGAAACCCUGACCGAGCAACGCCGCGUGUAGGAAGACGGCCUUCGGGUUGUAAACUGCUUUUCUUUGGGUACGAGCAAGGACGGUACCAGAGGAAUCAGCCCCGGCUCACUACGUGCCAGCAGCCGC
rnacentral:rRNA from 1 species